CGCAUACUUAUACAAUAACAUACAACAUGGCAAAAUUAGGUACUUAAACAUUCCUAACAUGUCAUGAUUAUGGAAAUUUCACAUGCAAUAGAUAUCAUAGAUUUUACUCACAUCUUUACCACAUUCAUGCUAUAAUCAUUAUAAACUCAUCACAUAAUACCAAAGCACAUGCAUGCAUAAUUAAAAUGGAUUUACAACCCCAUAAUCAAAAUAGGCCAACACAUAUGGCUAAAGCCAUAUCACAUACUCUAAUAUUUAAACUCCUAUACAUGUCAUAGGCUCAAAGUACUUGAAAUCUCUACACCAAUAAUGUUAGCUUGACAGUGUGAUAAUAUCUCCGAUGAACUCCAACCCGAGCUAACCUGGCAACCCUAGGAAACAUGGGAAAGAAGGGGGGUAAGCUUUCUCUUAGUAAGUUCAUAUGAAAACAAUAAGCAACUCAUUAACUUGUUUUUAUCAAUGUUUACAACAUAUUCUCAAGUUCACUACAAGCUAUCUUUCUGAGCAAUAGUCACUAAAUUAUUUAUAUUUGGAGCUACAAAACUUCGAAUUAUGUUCCGUUAAUUUUCCAUGAAACUAGACUAAUUUUUCUUUCUUCCAUAAAAUUUCCAUAAUUUUUGGUUCAGCCAAAUAGUACAUUUUAUUCCUCAAAGUUACCCCUGAUUCACUGUCAGAUAGUUCCGACCCUUUGGUACUAAAGUUCAAUUAUCUCAUAGUACAAGAUUCGAAUAAUGUUCUCGUCUAUUUCCCUUGAAACUAGACUCAUAUUUCUACUUACUAAUUUUUUUCUAGAAUUUUUGGUUGGGCCAAUUAGUACAGUUUAUUAGUUAAAGUCUCCCCUGUUUCAGGGUAUGACCACUCUGACCCCUGUGCACUACGAACCAAAUUUCUCCCUGUACAGAAUUCCAACGACCAUGCCGUUUAUUUCCCCUAAAAAUAGACUCAAUAAGGAAUCCAUGCAUGUAAGGUAUGACUCUUAAUAAUUGUUUUACAAUUUUUGGUGAAUUUAUAAAGUCAAAUUGCUUAUCUAUAAAAGUCUAACCUCCUUUCCCUCAUUGCCGCAGCACCUGUGAAAGUGGCAGCAAGAACCAAAGCACCUACAAGAACAGCCAAAGCAACCAACGACUUCUCCUCCGAAAGACCAUACAUAAGUGAUAUUUCCUUCGUCCUUACCCACAGUUGUGGGUAUAUAUGUCGUGCCCUGCAACCCGAUUUCUAACUCGAUAGUUACAGAGUGAUCUUGAAUUUAUUCAGACCCUGUUUCACAAGAAUUCAAAUAUCACACAAUAUGGAAUUCUUUUUCUUCCCCUGUUUCUUUCAUGUGAAAAUAGACUCAUUAAGCUUUAAUCCCAUAUUUUAUUCUGCCUCCAACUCAUUUUCCACUAUUUUUAGUGUAUUUUCAAAGUUACACUACUGCAGUAACUCAAAUCUGUCAAGGCUAAAUUACUCAUUCAUGAUCAUUGUUCACAAAAUUAAUACAACAUCAUUUGUAUAAUCAUCACCGAGACAUUCAUAUCACAUUUUCAUUUACCAUCUUACCAUUUUGUUGUUAUGUCGAGUUUUCAACCCGAGGGUUAAGUACAUACCUGUUCAAAGUAUCCAUUUCACAACAUUUAUCAAUACGUCCCUUUCAUCUCGAGUAUUCCUUCAUUUGAGUAGAAUUUUACCCAUUGAACACAUCGGACUAUAAUUCGGAUACAUGGAAAGUUUGCACAUAAGUGCCACAUAUAUAGCCAAGCUACCAUGUAACCCGCCUAUAAGUGAACUCGGACUCAACUCAACAAGCUCGGGCGUUCGCAUCCAUAAGUGAACUCGGACUCAAGUCAACGAGCUCGGAUGCCUAGUUACAUCUCACGAACUCGGACUCAACUCAACGAGUUCGAACAUUCGCAUCCAUAAGUGAACUCGGACUCAACUCAACGAGCUCAGAUGCCCAAAUAUUCCCGUGACAUGUCACUUGUAUCCUAAUCUAUUCCUAAGGUUCAACGGGACCUUUUUCCCAAUCAUGUGUCUCAACCAUCUUCUACGGAAUGCCGAUACCAAUACUCGGUAGUAUUUCACAUUUUCCAAGUAUAUCAUAUAAUUUGACAUAUUAUCAAACAAUUAUUACAAGUAUAAUAUCUCAUAAUAAUUAUCAUAUCAUUUAAAUAACAUCAAAACAUUUAAAAUAAUAACUAUGUUAUAAAUAACAUCAAAACAUUUAAAAUAAUAACUAUGUUACCAACAUUUACAUAUGAACUUACUUCGAUACCACAAAGGUAAAAAAAGACGUAAUUAUCCCUUAAUCGAUUUCUUUCCGUUCUAGGUCCAAAUCUCGAUUUUCAUCAUCUAAAAUAUCACAUUCAACUUAUUAAAACAAUGUACUGAUCAAAUUAGUCCAUUGACAACUUGAGCAAUUUUUACAAUUUUGCCAAAAUUACCAAAUUACCCCUAGGCUCGUAAAAUAAUUUUUAUCACAUUUCUUUACUCCUUGAGUCUAGAUGAACCAUUUUCAUAACUAUAGCAACUCAUAAUUUCAAAUAUUUCACACAUUUACAACUCAUUUUACAACUUAGCAAUCUAGCCCUUUUAAAGGUGUUUUCAUGCAAUUUCUUUCACAAAAGUUGUUUAUUAGACAACUAGGACUCAUAAUCUUCCAUAAAAACAUAGCAAACAACACAUUUACUCUCAUGGAAAAACCCUAGACUCUUCAUCAUUUUGCAAAAUAGACCCCUCAUAUGAAAGCUCAUGCUUUAGGGGUUCUAAAAAUGUAAAAAUCAUCAAGAAAGACAUUAAAAAUCACUUACUAGCAAGGGAUGUAAGUGGUUGAUAUUUCAGAGCUUUUCUGCCAUUUUCAGUGGAGGAGAAAAGAAAAAUGAUAGCUUUUUAUUUUUAAUUUGUUAAUAAUAAAACUAGUCAAAAUUGGUGACCAACUUCACCUAAUUUUGACUUUUCAACAAAUUUUUUUGUCUCCCAUGGCCGGCCAUCACAAUUUCAAUGGCCUAAUUUCACUUUAGAGACCCCCAAUUUAAGAUACAAGGCAAUUUAACACCUUUAGGUAUUAAAACACAACUUUUACCUUUUACGCGAUUUAGUCCUUUUUCGAAAUUGGACUAGAAAUUGCUAAAAUUAACUUACCAAAAUUUACAUGCACUUAUAAAAUUAUAUUAUAACACAUAAAAUAAUACUAAAAUAAUUUUCUUUGGCCUCAGAAUAGUGAUCCCGAAACCAUUGUUCCGAUUAGGCCCAAAAUCGGGCUGUUACAAGGUUGCAAUUUUGUAUUUGCUCAAAAUAAUCGAAUAUCACUUCAAAAUUUCACUCAUAUCUUUUAAAAUCCCUUAAACGAAGGCGAUAUGCGAUUUUUGGCAAUUCGUGGAAUCGUGCCCUAUCGUGUUGGGUUGCAAUUUCUCGUUUGUUUAAAAUAAUCAAAUAUCCCUCCAAAAUUUCACUCAGGUCUUUUAAAAAUCCUUUAAAACGAAGGUAAUACUCGGUGUUUGACAAUUCGGGAAUCAUGCCCUAUCGUGCUGGAUUGUGAUUUCUCGUUUGUUCAAAACAAUCGAAUAUUCCCUUAGGUUUUCAUUCAUGUUUAUUAAAAACCUUUUAAAACGAAGGCGAUGUUCGAUGUUUGGCGAUUUGAGAAUCGAGCCCUAUCGUGCUGGGUUGCACUUUUUCAUUCGCUCAAAACAAUCGAAGAUUCCUUCAGAAUUUCACUCGUAUUUUCUAAGGUGAGGCAAUGUUCGAUGUUUGGAAAUUUGAGGAAUCGUGCCCUACUGUGCUGGGUUUCGGUUUUUCGUUGGACCAAAUAGUUGGGCAUCCUUUUGUUAAUUUCAAAUUAUAAACUUUCGGACGUCGAAACAAGAAGAUUUUUAGCAACCAACUCGGUUUAUUCAAAUGUUAUUAACAAGAACCGCAUUUCAAAAACAUUUUUAAUUUUAGACAUAAGGACAGCAUUUAAUCGAUUUGGUACCAAUUUUGGGCGUAGUGAGGGUGCUAAUCCUUCCUCAUACGUAACCGACUCCCGAGCCCAUUUUCUCAUAUUUUCGUAGACUAGAAUCGUUGUUUUAGUGAACCAAAAAAUGUUUAAUUAAAACAACCAAAUUCUUAGGUGACCCGAUCACACCAAAACAAAAGGAUCGAUAGUGACUCCAUGUAUUUGUUUUUCAAAAGUCGGUUCCUCCCGUUUUUCAUUAAAAUUAAAAUUUUAAAUAAAAAGGGGAGUUUCGACACCUACAAUUUACAAAACAUAAAAUUCCUAAUAAAUUAUGAGCUUAAUAGAACUAUUUGGUAUUUAAUGUUAAUUCUUACCUUCCGGAAUUCUUAAUCCUCUUGGGUCUGAAAGUGCAUCACUUAAAAUACAAGAAUCAUGUGCACUACCUUCCCAACCAGCUAGAACAUAAGAAAAUUUCAAAUCAAAUAUGAUGGCAGCUAAUACAUUUUGUGUCGUCCCCCCUUUACGGUUACGAAAUCUUCCUUGAAUGUUAAGUGGAACGGAUGCACGAACAUGAGUUCCAUCUAAUGCUCCAAUACAAUCUUUAAAAUAAGGAUAAAACCUUGGAUUAUUUCUGAUUUCACUAGGAGUUGACUCAUCAGGUAAUCUAAUAUCUAGUUUAUACAAUUUCAAAAUAGCUCUCAAUACAACCCUAAAGUAACAGUGAAUUGUCCUAGUUGAUCUAUAAUAUCUAGAUCCAAUCACUCGAAACCUUACAUUAUGACCAAUUAUAUGUAAAAAUAUAACUACUUGCUCCCUAAUAUUCACAGACUUAGUUGAUUGUAACAAAUUAUUCCUACUAAGAAUAUCACAAAAAUUAAAAAAGGCAAUCGGUUUCAUCCUUAUCAGAUUAAUACAAUGUUGGUCACCACUAUAUAAAAUACUAUUAAUAUAAUUUUCCCUUUCAUAAUCUCGAUUCACACGAGGGUGAGAAGCAAUUUCCUUCCUAGUUUUUAAUUUUUUAAUCUAAAGAGCCCCAAAAGCUAAAACUGAAGCCACAACUCCGACAAUUGCAUUUUGAUCUUGAUUACGAUCCAUCUAUACAAAAUAAUGACACACAAAUUUUUUAUCACUACAAAAAGGAUGCAAGCUUAUCAUAAGAUCACAUAUAUGAAUAAAGUUACCAUGACUACAUACAAAUAUGAAAAUGUUUGAAUAAAAAUUAUAAAUCAAAAAAAGAGUUUGAACUUAAAAAUAAAACCUGUUUUAAAAAUAUUUGAGCUUUGGAUAAAAAAAAUUUAGUCUGAACCCGACUCAAAUAUUUUAACCUAAAAUUUUAACCAUAUCCCUUUUCCCCUACCCGGUCUCAAGGAUUAGCUCUCUUUCUUGAGCUUGGAAGCAUUAAGUUAAACCAUGAAUUUAGUUAAAAUUAUAAAGCGAAAGAGGAAACUUAAAUCAAAUAGACAGAAUGAUGUAAACUAAUUCAAUAUUAAUAGUGCAAUUUAAUUUUAUAAUUUUGAUGGACAAAAUACUAGUGGUGGUCAGGGUCCUUCAAACAAGCUUUAAAUUAGUGGAUUAUAUUGUUUGUAGUGUCAAAUAUUUAUAAUCCAUACCCAUUAUAGUUUGUCUUAAAAGAGAAAAAAGAAAAUAAUAAAACUAAUAAUAAAUAAUUAUAAUUAUAAUUAACUUCCAAGUCAAAAACACUUUUCAAUAUCAUAUUUAUUAUUACAUGAUUAUUAAGUGAAUUUAUUUUUUAAAAUUUUAAAAAGUCAUACAAAUAAUUAGAUUUAAAUUUUUAAAUCCAAAAAGUAGAGAGACUAACUUGAAAAUAAAAAUAAGGAUUAAAUUUUAAAUGUAUGUAAUGUAUAAAGACUUAGAAAAAUAUAUUUCAACAUUUAAUUUUAUUACUAUAAUUUGACACAAAAUAAUAAUUGUAAUUAUUUUUUUUGAUAAUUUAACUAGAAUUAAAUCAAAAUAGAGAGAAUAAAUUUGAAUGCCUUAGAAGCCUGAGGAUGGAAUAGAUUAUCUAAAAAAAAUAAAAAGAUUAUCCUAUCCUAGUAAUAUAUCCUAAUAAUAAAUUUGAAUUUAGUCAAUGGAAUGAAUAUGUAUCCCUACUGGUUGCCUAAAGCUUCCAAUUUAUUGAUUUGAUGCAAUAUGUACGUUAAUAAUUUUAAUAUAUAUGGAUAAAUAAGUCAUAAUUUUUUACAAAAUAUUUUAAAUGUUAAAUAUUAAAACUACAUAGUAAAUGUAAUUCUAUAAAAUAAGUAUCGUUAUUACUUGAUAAUAGUGAAAUACUUUAUAAGCAUCAUGUAUAUAGAAUAAUUAGUUUUUAUAUUUUAUUUUUUAAAAAUAUAUAUUUUAUAUAUCGAAUUGGAUCAUAACAUGUUAUUAAAAAUUUUUUAAAUAAAUAUAUAGAAAUAUAACUAUCAAUACAUCAACUAUUAACCUAUAAAUUUUUGUACCAAAAAUUAAAUCACAUCAUUAUAUUAGAAUUUUUCAUGAAAAUAAUAAUAUUGGUGUUAUAUACAACUGGCAAAAACAAGAAGGAAAAAAAAAUAAAAUUUGUAUCUGUCAUAGGGCCAAAACAGAAGGAAGCUGCUUUGGAUUCUUCUUUUAAGAACAAACUAGGAUUACAACAAACAAAUUAUAGUACAAGUCUUGGUACAUAUAUGUCUAUAAUUAAUUUAGUAUGGUAUUUUUGCCGGUUCUUACAUUUACAAUUUCCAACACUCAAAUUAGCUGUUUUUGGUUGAUUUUUAGAUAACAACUUAUUGAAUUAUUUCAUGGUUUUAUGAAAUAAAUAAAUAAACCAUACAACAAAAUAACAACUCUUUGUCUAUAUGCCAACUUCGUGCUACCCAUGCACCAAAUUUAUACAUGUGAACCAUAUCUAGCAUGUCGGUCGAUAACCUCAACAUCACAUUGCUCCUUCCCUUAACUAUUAUGUGUUUUCAAAGAAAUUACACAUGUUAUUAACCCUACAAAUAGAAAGCAACAAAAAUUGAACAAAACAACAAGCACACAAAUUUUUGCAUGUUAUGGUCAACAGAGUAGCAGAAUUCAAUCAUGUAAAAACAAAAGCAACAUCCAUUAUCGAUUGUCAAAAACAAACGGAGCCUAAGAAACAAGCUACCAAGUCAGUUCAGUUUUCCAGCUACAAUUCCAUAUCAAGAAAUUCAAAACAACCAAAUGAAAACUGAAAAGCAAUACUCUGAUUAAAUUAAAAAGUAGGACUAAACCCCAAGUUUCGAUUCCUUAAAUAAUCGAGGUGGACAGUGUUAGUGGCAAAAAAACUCAUUUUCAAAACUAAAAUUUAUUUCCAACAUGAACAGAAAGACAAAAGCUAUUUGGCAUGUCUAAUAUGAAGUGGUUACAAAUAAACUUACAACUAAUUAAUUGCAGCAAACAGCAAAUUGCAACAAACAACUAUUCGGCAUUAAAAGGCUAAACCAAAUUGCAGCAAACAACAAAACCAAACAAGGUCUUGUGAAAAAAAAAGCAGAAUAAAUCCAGAACAGCUUAUCCUAUAAAUGCUGCUUGCUAAGACUGGUCUUUUUCCCCAGAAGCGUCAUAAAAGUUUUAAAGUUUUAAAGAACAUUCAUCAUUACUACCAAUUGACCACCAAAGAGAAAAGAGAAGAGGCUCUCAUGCUUGAUCCUUUGAUUCUAAAAUCGAUCUAACUAAUGUAUAUACGUCAAGAAAAUCACUAGUCCUUCAUUUGAAAAACAUGCUGCUAUUUCAUUUCAAUCAACAGAAAGACAAAAGCAGACCAUUCUCUUGUUUCAUUAUGUUUGGUUAAAACUCGGGCAAAGACUAGUAAAGUUCAUAGCUUUUCAACGAGAAAUAAGAACCAACCCAAAGCUAAGAAUGAGAAUUAAAGGUAAAAAAGUUCAUGGCACCCAAAACCCAAAUAAGUUUACCGAAUCUUAAAACUUAAAGCUUCUUUAUCUUAUCAUUGACCUAAGCCUGGGCGUAUGAGGCUUUCUAACUUUGUUUUUAGUAAGGAAACUCUGUUUCUUUUCGACUCUGUUAGUGAUCCCGAAUCGAGCUUGAUACCUAGUGGGGAUUAUUGCGUUGGAUUGAUCAGUCGAUAAUCCCCUUAUGACUUCAAGAAGAGACAAAAGGUCAAUGUUUUAUGUGAAAAAAAAGAGGGUCUUUAAGAUCUCUUAAUCUGGCUACUGGUGCAAGCUUCUAGCUUUCUAAAUGGGACUUUCUAAAUGAGUUGAUUCUCUUGCAAAUCCAGCCGAAAUGAUUUCUUCAACUCUAACUAAAAAUACUUAUAAAAGGGGUUUUUGUUUUAGGUAAGAAGGAAUGCCCUAGUUUCGAUUAUUAGUAGAAUUACAGCAAACAACAACAAAUUGCAGCAAACAACAAACAGAGGAAGUAGAAGGAAGCAGAGUUACCUGGAUGAAGAAGAAAGAAAAUGAAGAACGGCUUGGCUAGGAAAGAUUGGUGAGAGUUGGAACCACCGAAACGAAACAGCAGCCCUGAGAAAAGAAGAUUUGUGAAAAGCUAGGAAAAAAUGAAAUUAAAAGAUGAUAGAAGAAGUAGGAGGAACGUACCUGGAUGGAGAAGAAACAAGAUGAAGAACGGUGUAAGGGGGAAGCCUGAUGAGAGUUGGAAAAUGUCUUACGGAAAAAAAUUCUGUAAGACAUUUUCCUUAAAACCUUAGGCAUUUUACCCGUGAUUGUGAAAAUAUUUUCCCCAUGUAAAAGCUUUUCAGUCAAACAAACACCAGAAAAUCAAGAAAACAUUUUCCUGGCAAACAAACACACCCUUA
rnacentral:lncRNA from 1 species